CACGUAGGGGGCAAGCGUUGUCCGGAAUCAUUGGGCGUAAAGAGCUCGUAGGCGGCUCGGUAAGUCGGGUGUGAAACCCCCAGGCUCAACCUGGGGACGCCACCCGAUACUGCUGUGGCUAGAGUCCAGUAGGGGAGUGUGGAAUUCCCGGUGUAGCGGUGAAAUGCGCAGAUAUCGGGAGGAACACCAGCGGCGAAGGCGGCACUCUGGGCUGGAACUGACGCUGAGGAGCGAAAGCGUGGGUAGCAAACAGG
rnacentral:rRNA from 1 species